GGCAAACGGGUGAGUAAACACGUGGGUGACCUGACCUUCCGAGUGGUGGGAUAACCGUACCCCGAAAGGGACCGCUCAAUUACCGCAUGACAUCCUGCCCUUGAACUGGGUGGUAAGGAUCAACAGCUGGGGUAUCUGCAAGACCUUAGACGCUUGAGUGAGGGGCCCUGUGUCCGAUUAGCUAGUUAGGUCGAGGUAACGGCUCACCAAGGCGACGAUCGGUAGCCGGCCUGAUAGGGCGGACGGCCACACUGGGACUUGAGACACGGUCCAGACUCAUAACGGGAGGCAGCAGUGGGGAAUUGUUCGCAAUGGGCGCAAGCCUGACGACGCAACGCCGCGUGGAGGAUGAAGAUCUUCGGGUCGUAAACUCCUUUCGAUCGAGACGAACGGCUUCCGGGCUAAUCACCGGAAGAAGUGACGGUACCGAGAGAAGAAGCCCCGGCUAACUCCGUGCCAGCCGCCGCGG
rnacentral:rRNA from 1 species